AAAAAAAAAGGCUGGUGGAGUUCAUUCUUUCUCUCUUCUUUUUAAAGCCUGAAGCAUUGCAGAUGGGGUUCAAGUUCACCGGCUGCAUCACCCCCCCCCACCCUGAAGUCACCAGUAUUGGCAAUCUGCUUAGUCACCUGAGAUCCAAGUCUCCGCUUACCUUUGGUGACCACCCGUGGGGCAGCAGCUGGGGACAUCCCCAGACACUGCGACUCCACAUCUAGUUUCGCCUAAGAAGCUGGGGGAGGUACUUGUGGAGCCACACACACUGCUGGACGGAUGGUCAGAGUGGUCUUCAUGGGCAAGGUGAGAUUUGUAGGAGAUGGUGAGUCACCCAAACAGACGUCCGGACAAGGAGCAUGCCAGAAAGAGGUUAACGGCAUGUGCCAAGGUCCUGAGGUAGGAGCAUGAGCCACACGCUUGAGGUUCAGAGCAGGUAGAGGUGGAGCAGGGGCAAGAGUCAAGCUCAGCGCCUGGCACUCAGCGAUUACCCAGGAAACACAAGCUGUGGCCAGGACAGUGACAGUAGCUGCCACUCACCACGGCCUCAGGCAGUUGGUUCUCUCACCAUCUCCAAGUCUCCUUGGUCAAGUGCAUGUAUUUUACCCCCACCCCACCUCUACCGCUCACUCCAGACCCAAGACUUCUUCUCUGAACCUCUACUCCCUUCCAGAUGCAGGGGAGAGAUGGGUGGGCUGAGGAAGCCGCGGUGCUGCACUGCUCUCUAGGGAACACCAGCACAGGCAAACCGCUGAGUAUGAAGAAGUGGCCAACUGUGUUCAGUGCUGGGCUUGGGGACCUAGCUGGGCUCUGAGGGAGUUGGGCAGGUGGCUACCCAGAGUAAGGCUGGCAUAGCACAGCCUGUCCCCUCUGCAGGAUCAUCCACUUUUGGGGAUGGGAGCCCAAGCUUCCGAGGGUUGAGAGCCACCCUGAUCUCAGAGGAGGUUGUUCCUGGAAGCAAAGAUCCAGGAUGUAGUCAUGUUUUCUGUGGCUAUAACAAAAUGCCUGAGAUCAGGAAUACUGUUCUUAAAAAAAAAAAAAAAAAGAGGACAGUAGUACCAGGUCCCUGAAAUGUUGCUUUCACAAGGAUUUAACAAGCCCCAGGGGACUGUGAGAGCCAGGCCAGGGUGGCCUGCCUGGACACGUACUAUCCAGAAGGACCCUGGAAUUCUCCAAAGUAUGCUGAGAAUUAGAGCAAUGCAGUGCUCUCUCUAGUGAGCUGCUCUCUCGCCCACAUGCCCAGACAGCUGGACGCCGGUCACACGAGAAAGAAAACAGACUAAACAAAUCAAUGACUCGUGGCUUCUGUAAGCAACCCAUAAACCCCCUCCCUGUAGUAACUGGGACGGCUCGGUAACCUCGGGGAGGAAGGUGCGGGUCCAGGCAGCCCUUUUGAGGGGCAGAGGCACUCGGGUCCAGCCUGCCGCCAUUGGAUCUCCCCCAUAAACACUUCUCAACG
rnacentral:lncRNA from 1 species